GCGCCGGUGGUGCAAUGGUUAGCAUACGCUCCUAAAAAGGGUGAGAUCCGGGUUCGAAUCCCGGCUGACGCA